GUGACCUCAAAUCAGGUAGGACUACCCGCUGAACUUAAGCAUAUCAAUAAGCGGAGGAAAAGAAACUAACAAGGAUUCCCCUAGUAACUGCGAGUGAAGCGGGAAAAGCUCAAAUUUAAAAUCUGGCAGUCUUUGGCUGUCCGAGUUGUAAUCUAGAGAAGUGUUAUCCGCGCUGGACCGUGUACAAGUCUCCUGGAAUGGAGCGUCAUAGAGGGUGAGAAUCCCGUCUUUGACACGGACUACCAGGGCUUUGUGAUGCGCUCUCAAAGAGUCGAGUUGUUUGGGAAUGCAGCUCAAAAUGGGUGGUAAAUUCCAUCUAAAGCUAAAUAUUGGCGAGAGACCGAUAGCGAACAAGUACCGUGAGGGAAAGAUGAAAAGAACUUUGGAAAGAGAGUUAAACAGUACGUGAAAUUGCUGAAAGGGAAACGCUUGAAGUCAGUCGCGUUGUCCAGGGAUCAACCUUGCUUUUGCUUGGUGCAUUUUCUGGUUG
rnacentral:rRNA from 1 species